AUCGCGAAGAGAUAGGAAGAGAAAUUUGACUUCAGCCCCACCUCCUUUGCUCUCCUGACGCACGUACCUCCUCUCCCAGAAAUCCCACACAACCUCCUCUCCCCACUCCCCAGCUAGGUUGCUGCCGCUCCUCCGGCGCUGGCGGGCUUCCUCGGCCUUUCCUCUCUCUGCCUGCGGUGCAUCCCUGGAUCCACGGAGGUGGAUGGCAGGGGCCCUAAGGUUGAUGGUGCUGAGGAGGAGGCGGAGCGGUUCUGUUGUUGGGUUGAGCGGCGGCCGGAGUGGGUCGACCAUGGAGAUGGCCGUACGUGGCGUCGUUCUCGGGCAGAGAAGGGGAGGGGAGCGUGAGGUGAAGAGGAGGCCCAUGGGAGCAGAUCCGGCCGUCAACGGUAGGGUUGGCCAUGGAUAUGGCCAUCUGUGGCGGCGGCGUCAGGCAGAGAAGCGGAGGGAGGGCGAGAUGAAGAGAGGAUGGAGACGGAGACGGAGACGAAGAGCCCAUGGAGAAGCUCCACCGAUAUCAUCGGCGGUAAGAAGGCGACGCCCACCUCCACCUUCGUGCAGUCACCCAGGUAAAUUUUGGAGUUAUGCUAAUCAGGAGGUGUUGCAGGAAAUUGAUAUUGGCCAUUCAGCAAAUGUAUUUUGCGCAAAAUUUAUUGAGGAAGCAUUUGAUGAAAUAUAAGUUUGAGAAGCAGGAGAUGACGAGGUACAGCCUUUUCCAGUAUAUGUUUUCACUUAUCUUUCCCAGUUAUUCUUAGGCAUAUUUUAGGAGAUGUUCAUUUUUCUUUUCGAGGUUCGUCCGUUCGUGUUAUCAAUUUGUCUCGUUUAAAUGGCAUAAGGUGCAGGAAAAUUUCUAUGGAACUAGCUGCAAUUUAUUAAUGUCACUCCAAGAGGGCCAAGCAAAGGUUUGAGUGACAAUGUGCAACCCCUUUCCUCUAAUUCCAACUGUGUCAUGAAUUCUUGUGUUGCUGCUAUUCUGAAGGGCGUCAUGUUGUUAUUGUUGAUGAUUUAGUGCAAUCUAGUGGAACUCUUACAAAAUGCCAGGUUACCAUUCUGUUGCAAUCGCUGAUUGGUACAGUCUUGUGCCAUAAUUUCAAGUUGUCGUACCAAAAACUUAAUGCCUUUCAGAAUUCAAAUUUUACCUGAGUCCACAAUUGAUAGCAUUACCAGCAGGCUUAGUCAUGUAAAGUUGAGACGUUCAAUUUCGUUCCUUCUCCAAACCUGGUAAUAGAGUCUGUGGCAUGUGAAUUUUCAUGUUGUGGGUCAAUUUGGUGUGACAUAUUUACUUCAUUGUUCAGUGAAAUGGAAGUAAUACAUUUCAAGUGUCAAUUAUGAUGCUACAUGUGACUUAUAGUUGCAUAUACUAUGUUGUUCCUUUUUGCCCCAUGAGUAUUUAUGUUCUGUUCAUUUGGCAGAAACUUUUGGCUGCUUAUGUUGUCGCAAAAGUUACUGCCCAUGUCACUCAAACUAUGUUCCUGGUCAGUCGUAUGAAUGGUUCAUGAUCGUGAGUUCUGCUGGGCCAGGUGAGCAGUUUGAUUACUUCUGGAUCACGGAUUCGUGCCCUCAGACAGUGAAAGCCAUCAGCCAACCCUCCAUUUGAGGUGUUGAGCCUUGCUAGCUCAAUUGUUGACGCCCUUCAGAUAUGAAUGUGGACUAUGAAAUGCGCUGCUCCCAUAUAGAGCUUUCAUUUCUAGCUCGAGCAAAACAAAUAAUGUGAAGAGAGUCAUCUAAUUGUGUUGAAUCUUUGCUCCAUGUUUUGUUCUGUUGCCAUCUUCCUUCUCCCGUUAUGCAUCCGUUGUUUGUUUGCUAUUUUAUUGGGCAUAUUUUCGACUGGAAGACACAAAGGAGGUUGUGUAGUGGGGAUGGAUAUCUGGUGUUGGAAGAAGACGACGAGUAGCCAAAUACUUCUAGGUAUUAUCGUUUGGCAUGUUUCAUUAAAAUUCACAUUUGCAAAUAGAUGUGCUCAGCAGUCCUAUCCCCAACUUCAUGAUGAUGCUUCUGUUAAGUUCAUGCAGCAACACAAAUAUUGGGUUUGUACCAUGUAUUGUUUGCUUGCCUAAAAACAGAUGGUUGGUAUAUUUCUCGCAGUUUAGGAACACAGUGAAAUAAGAAAUGAUAUUUGAAACUUGAAAGCUUCUUGCGUUGGUAGAGCCCUAUUGGGUUAUCUUGGAAAUAACAAAUAAGGCAAAGGUUGUACAAUGUACAAGCUGCACUUGUUUGGUUUUGAUACUCUUGAAUGGUUCAUUGUAAUUGUGCCUGCUGUCAUUUGCAUCAUACAACCUUUUGUAUUUUGCCUGCUAUCAUUUGACCUCUAGGAAAACGGAGGGAGAUGAAUUGGGCAGAAACCUGAUGUCAUGGAGGUUUGCUCAUGACCGUUGGUGUGGUGAUGUUUAGUCACCGGAAACAAUUCUUGAGCAUGAGUCUGUAUUUUGUUUCCUUAUUCAACAUAGCGGUGAGGAAGCAAGAGAAAACUUAUUACUAAAUCAAUUAUCAUUCUAAUUACAGCCGUAUCUUAUGGCUUGGUCAUUUGAAUUACUGCAUAUCUAUUCCAUACUCGCGAGCAAAAGCUCUGGUUAAAAUGCAUAAUUGGUAAAUUACACUGCCCUGGUACACGACAAUGUUAGUUUCAGGACCAUGCUUUUUGCUGCUGGUGUGGUAUAUAACUGUGAUGGUAUAUAUCUUACAAAGUGUUUCUGACUCGUUCUUCUCAGACAUAGUUUUUGUUUAUUUAUUUGCUGGAGGCGACCGCGUCGCCGCCCAUGGACAUCACUGGAGGAGGCGCGGAAGACGGGCUCCGACUCCUCGGAUUCAGACGAGGAAGGAGACGCCGUCGACGAGCUACGCAUCCAGGCCCUGGAGCGCACCAUGUUGGAGCAGCCUCUCGACUACGAUUCCCAUGUUCAGCACCAUGGAAUGGAGCUUCCUCUGCUCGGGACGCCGGUCAUGUGCUCGUCAAGGUCCGCUGAUCCUUUCGCCUCCAAUCCCAUUCCCAGUCCCAGAAUAAGCAGCAGCAUCAAGGUCCUAUCCUCUCUCUUUUUAUCCUGGUACUGUAUCUCACUGGACCUGUUCAUGUGUCAGACUGUUGUACUCGUCAGCAUGCAAUUACUUGCAAUGAGACUCGGCAUAAUUACACAUACAUAACCCAUCUUGAGCAAUUGAGGGUACUAAAACACAGCAGGCCAUUUCUUUGUAACAACAGAAAAUCUUUGAUUUCAGUGCUGUUGGAUUCUAGAUGCAAGCUAGACAAUAUGUUCGAUCAACUGAUGUUUGUGUAGGUUCGUGGUAGAACUGAUGGCCACUGACACUGACACUGAUAGUAUAGGGUUGCAAGCCUCUGAAAGGCAGCAAGUAAUCUGGUUCGCACUCCCAUCCUAUGUAGGUCGAUGGUACUACUGACCAACCAGUGUUAUUAUUUUCUCAAAUUGUGUUAACCUUUGUCAAGAAUUGAUGUGGGCAAGCUUUUACUGUUUCUUUUGCAGCCAGAUAGCUGCAAUUAGUGAAGAACAAGAUAGCUUAUGGAAGGACCAUGCUAUAUUGCUACUUUGACUAAAUAAAAAUUCAUGGAUGCAGAUGCUAGAGACAUACAAGCUUGGCGGGGCCAACGCCACCAUCCUCACCGACGUCCAGCAAGCGCCAUGCAACUAAUGGUGUUGCUGCCAUGACGACGCCUGCCUCCAUGCUGAUCGAGCUUUUCGACCUGCCCGGAAUGGACAAGGUCAUUUGGGCAUCUGUUUUUUAUGUGCUAUUUGCUCUCUUUUUAUAAGGAGUGUAGCUACAUGAUCAAAUUUGUAUGCGCACUGUAGUUCUAUGUUGUAUCUUUCUUUCUGAAGAAGCGACAAUAUGCUCUUGUCAGUGUUA